GACGGAGGGCGCGAGCGUUAUUCGUUUUGAUUGGGUGUAAAGGGUACGUAGGCGGUUAGCUAAAUUUUUAACUAAAAGCGCAGAGAGCUCCUAUGCGACAGUUUAUUAAUUGGCUGACUUGAGAUGAAAAUGGGUUAGAGUAAUUUCUUGAGAAGGGGUAAAAUCCUGCGAUACAAGAACGAACACCAGAUAGCGGAGGCGUCUUUCUAGUUUCAUCUGACGCUAAGGUACGGAAGCUUAGGGAGCAAACAGG
rnacentral:rRNA from 1 species